rnacentral:rRNA from 1 species
AUGCUCAAACCGGAACUGCUAGAGGAACGAAUUUUCAAUAGCAUAACUUGGGCUCCUAGAAUAUGGCGCCCUUGGGAAAAUCUAUUUGCUUGCAGGGUUUUGUUCCGAAGCAAAGAUAUCUGUGGAGGUUGGUUCGUUCGUCCUAUUCUGAUAUCCAGGACCAAGAGGUACUGGGUUCUCUUUCGGAUAGGCCCUGAAAGGAGAAGAAAGGCUGAAAUGCCAAUGGACCUCUGUCUAUUCUCUAAUUCACCCGAUCCGAUGGUACCCGUUUUUGGAACGUCCAGUGCCAAAGUCACUGAAUGGGUAAGUCACCAAUCCAAUCCCUUUGACAAAUCGGAAGUCAUAUUAGAUAUCAUAUUCUAUAUAUAUAUAUAUAUAUAUAUAUAG